rnacentral:misc_RNA from 1 species
GGCACCUCCUCAUUUCAGAGUGUGGCUGACAAAUCCAUUACUCGAUUUUAUUUUGAAUUUUCUUCAUCAUGGCCCCGUACUCCCAAUUGGAUAUCUUUGUUUGGAAAUGACACAUUCUACUCAAGCUUUGCCCGAAUUUUUAAACGUUUAGUACAGGAAUGUGGUGCUCCUGUUAUACUGGCACUAAAAGAUGCAUUAGCAGACUACAUAAAUGCAAAGGAGAGGACAAAGCAGUGUGU